AGGACCACCAGUCGAUUGGUCUAGGGUGCCAAGGGAGCUACUGGGAGGGAAGCCAGGUCUGCUGUUAAGAGUGAGGGUGGGCAGGAAGAGCUGGACACAGACCAGCAGGUGACAACCACCCCGGGACACCUGCUGGCAUCUUGGUGUCUCACUGUCACCACAGCCAACGAGGCUGGUCUCAGAGAGUGGUGGCCACUGCUCCCCUCUCUGUACAGAUCCCCACGGGCAGGGCUCUUUUAGUCAGCUCAAACCAGAGCCACGUGGGGAAGGGGGUUCUGACCACCUUCACACAGUGUAAAGCACUGAGGCCAAGUAUUGGACCUCCCGGACCCUCUGUUUGCUCAUCCAAGAAAUGGGCACAUGGAUACUUAGCACAGGCUCUAAUCUACGACAGCACUCGAUUAGUACUUAUUAACUCUUCCCUGUUGCCAUGGCGGUGCCUUGAAGAAUUUCCCUCCACAAAGCCCAGGGCAGUGACCUCUGAGGGCUGCCCCAGCUACAUUUAAAAAUCUGGAGUUUUGAACACCAUGAAGUCACACCGUACGGGAGUGGACUAAUAUCCGGUGCUAGAGUAGUUCGCAAAACCAGAUCUACCUGCAGGAUAACGCGCUUUGGAGCUCAUUUCCCAUUUCCCGCUGGGCCUGUUUCCAGGGUCCUACUGACGUCACAAAGGGACAGGCAUCAUCCGAGCCACCCCCGGCAGCCUGGGGAGAGCAGGAAUCCACAGCGCCUGGUUGCAGUGUGCAUCCCCGGAGGGUCAAACCCUGUGAACGCGUUGCCAGGAAACAACUUCCAUCCGGGAACUUGAGGCAUCCUCUUGCUGCGAGGACGGCGGAGCCGCCCCUGUGGGAUGGAUGGGCUGCCUCCUAGGUUGGGGCGGGGAAGCCAGGGAAGAAGGAGGGGGUUUUCGGGGACCUGGGUGCUGGACGGGAAGUGGACUCCGGAAUCCAUGGCAACUCAGACUUGACUCACUUGAAGGCUGACUUCAAGCAGAACGAGAAGGGGCAGCUUCCUCUGAGCAUCUCCCUGAUCCUUCCAGGAGAAAACCAAGGCGCAGGCAGAAGGGGUAAACGCCUACCCGAGAGCAAUUCUGUGCUUGUACACACUGGAUUCCAGAACACGGCCUCGUCUGAAAGCCAGGAUGAUGAGCUUUUGAGAGGAGGAAGAAUGAAGACAUUUAUUCAGAAGAGUAGCACUGUGGUGCGUAUAAAGGGCCUUCAAAAAGUUUGUGGAAGAAAGACAUGUUUAUUUGGGUGCACAAAAAUAACUGAAAUUCAAGCAUAGUAUCUUCACAAUAUGCAUUUCUAUGAACUUUUUCAAGAAGCAGGGUAUUUCCAAAUUUCUUUGAUGUGAAGUUUAACUGAAGACGGCUGGGUCCUUGUGGCUGCUGCUACAUUCAGUCUGAGGCAAGGUCUUGUUUUGGUUUCCAGAAACAAAAGAAAUCUGCCCUUACACGUAUAUCUCCUUGGAAAAAGGGAAACAUUGUAAUGACCCUUUCAAGACAACCACGGAUAUCUCCUCUUGGUACUACACCAAAACUUGAAUGGGGUUCAGUGUUGUUGCAACACGCAAUCUGAGACUAGGUUAAUGAGCUUCUUCUCCUCUCUCCUCUGCCACAUCAAAACCCCUGGGUCUGUCUUGCACUUGGAAUGGAUCUUUGUUCACCCAUGCAUGCUGUGGUAACACCACGCUUUGUUCAUUUGGAAACCACUGCUUCACGGGCUCAUUACAUUUUUCAAAGAUGGACUCAUUUCGUUACAUAGCAUCAGAAAAGCACAUGCCUCCGUAUCACUGCAGAUCUCACCAGAGAAGUAAAACAAGAAAUUGUCAGGUUCAUAGUGGUAGAUAAACUCUUCUCAACUUAGCUGGAAUUCUGGCAUUGGCCAUCAACACCGGUAGCUCUUUGCCUUGAAGUGGCAGGUGCACUGUGUUCAUUUUUGAGAAAAUGUCUGCCAAAUAUCCAACUCCAUAGAGCCAUGGUUUGUCACUUGUUCUUUCAUGUAAAAAUGGUGUUCAGGCAAUAGUGGCUAAAUCAGCUCGAAUGUGAGCCGUUGCACAGGGGCUUUUCCUGGACAUGGCCGCCUACCCUGUGCUCCGUGCUGUGGUAGGAGUCCCUUACACCGCUUUCCAUUUUCCUAUUAAGACGAUGUGUAGUGGGGCAGGUAUUGUGACACAGUGGGUUCAGCUAUCACUUGAGAUGCUCACUUCCCACAUGGGAGCACCAGUUCACGUCCCGGCUCCUCUGCUUGAAUCCAGCUCCUUGUGAAUAUGCCAGGGGAGCAGCAGAUGACGCCUCAAGAACUCGAGUCCCUGCCCCCCGUGUGGAGACCCUGACGGAGUUCCUGCGUCCUGCCUCAGGCCUGACCCUGAAUACUGGGCCAUUUGGGGAGUGAACAAGUGAAUGGAACCUCUCUCUGUGUCACUGAGCCUGUCAAACAAAUAAAUAAAUUUUCACAAAAAGAUUUUUUUUAAAAUAAAUGUAUCCGGGGCCAAGAUUAUACAAGAUUAAUAAUUUUAAUACUUCAUUAAAGGUGGUCUUAAGUGAAACUUGCAUGUGGUUUUUAAGAAAUUUUAUUUAUUUAUUUGAAAGGCAGAGUGACAGAGAGAGAGAGAGAGAGAGAGAGAGAGAAUCUUCCAUCUGCUGAUUUAUUCCCCAACUGACUGCAAUGGCCAGG